GGAUUAGGUGUAGGUAUAGGUUUAGGGAUUUGAGAAUACAUUUAGGUUUUUGGUUUAGGUUUAGGUUUUAUGUUAUAGGUUAAGGUUUAGGUUUUAGGUUUAGGUUAAGGUUAGGUUAUAAGUUAUAAGUUUAGGUUUUGGUUUAGGUUAAGGUUAUAGGUUUAGGUUAAGGUUUAGGUUUAGUUUUAGGUUAAGGUUUAGGUUAUAAGAUAUAGGUUUAGGGAAUUGAGAAUAGGUUAAGGUUUAGGUUUAGGAAAUCAGGUUCUGGUUCGGGUUCGGGAUCGGGUUUAGGUUU